rnacentral:rRNA from 1 species
GACGAACGCUGGCGGCGUGCUUAACACAUGCAAGUCGAACGGAAAGGCCCUGCUUUUGUGGGGUGCUCGAGUGGCGAACGGGUGAGUAACACGUGAGUAACCUGCCCUUGACUUUGGGAUAACUUCAGGAAACUGGGGCUAAUACCGGAUAGGAGCUCCUGCUGCAUGGUGGGGGUUGGAAAGUUUCGGCGGUUGGGGAUGGAAGGGCGGCUUAUCAGCUUGUUGGUGGGGUAGUGGCUUACCAAGGCUUUGACGGGUAGGCGGCCUGGGAGGGGGACCGGCGACAAGGGGACUGAGGUACGGCCCAGAGGGCUACGGGGGGCAGCGGGGGGGAAUAGUGCACAAUGGGCGGAAGCCGGGGGCAGCGGCGCCGGGUGCGGGAGGACGGCCUUCGGGGUGUAAACCGCUUUCGCCUGUGACGAAGCGGGAGUGACGGUAAUGGGUAAAGAAGCACCGGCUAACUACGUG